GAUGAAGAACGUAGCGAAAUGCGAUAAGUAAUGUGAAUUGCAGAAUUCAGUGAAUCAUCGAAUCUUUGAACGCACCUUGCGCCCUUUGGCCAUUCCGAAGGGCAUGCCUGUUUGAGUAUCAUGAACACCUCAACUCUUUAUGGUUUUCCAUGAUGAGCUUGGACUCUGGGGGUUUUGCUGGCUCACAGUCGGCUCCUCUAAAAUGAAUCAGCUUACCAGUGUUUGGUGGGUAUCAUGGGUGUGAUAACUAUCUACGCUUGUGGUUUUUCCACCAGGUAACCUUCAGCAGUGGAGGUUCGCUGGAGCUCAUAGAUGUCUCUCCUCAGUGAGGACAGCCCUUUGAAUGUUUGAUCUCAAAUCAGGUAGGACUACCCGCUGAACUUAAGCAUAUCAAUAGCGGAGGA
rnacentral:misc_RNA from 1 species